rnacentral:lncRNA from 8 species
AUGCUGAAGAGCGUGACACCAGUCCGGUGUCAUCUGCACCGGCUCCACGUACCAGGUCUCCAGUGCGUCUCCCCAGUCCGGUACGUCCUGUGCCAGCUCCCCGCACUCGCCCUGAAGUGUGUGUCACCAAUCCGGUGCCACCUGUACUGGCUCCACGCACUAGGCCUCCGGCGACGGUUCCCAGUCCAGAGCUUCCGGCGACGGUUCCCAGUCCAGAGCUUCCGGCGACGGUUCCCAGUCCAGAGCUUCCGGCGACGGUUCCCAGUCCAGAGCUUCCGGCGACGGUUCCCAGUCCAGAGCAUCCGGCGACGGUUCCCAGUCCAGAGCAUCCGGCAACGGUUCCCAGUCCGGAACCGCCAACGACGGUUCCCAGUCCGGAACCUCCAACGACACUUCACAGUCCGGAACCUCCAGCGACGGUCAAUGGUCCGCAACCUCCAGCGACGGUCAACCGUCCGGAGCUUCCAGGCAAGGCGUCCAGUCCUGUUCCAGGGCAGGAGCCUUCCUCUGCACCGGUGCCCAGUCCAGGCACGGUGUCCAGUCCAGCUCCAGGGCAGGAGCCUUCCUCUGCGCCGGUGCCCAGUCCAGGCACGGCGUCCAACCCAGCUCCAUGGCCGGAGCCUUCCUCUGCGCCGGUGCCCAGUCCAGGCACGGCGACCAGCCCAGCUCCAUGGCCGGAGCCUUCCUCUGCGCCGGUGCCCAGUUCAAGCACGGCGACCAGCCCAGCUCCAUGGCCGGAGCCUUCCUCUGCGCCGGUGCCCAGUUCAAGCACGGGGUCUGGGGGGGCUACGACCCGCACCGGAGCCGACACUAGUCACCCACCCUAACCCCCCCCCAUUUGGUUUCAGGUUUUGCGGCCGGAGUCCGCAUCUUUGGGGGGGGGGGUACUGUCACGCCCUGACCAUAGAGGGGCCCUUGUUUCUCUAUGGUGUAGUAGGUCAGGGCGUGACUAGGGGGUGUUAUAGUUUAACAUUUCUAUGUUGGUGUUUUGGUAUGGUUCUCAAUUAG